rnacentral:rRNA from 1 species
CACACCGCCCGUCACACCGUGGGAGUGGGUUGCACCAGAAGUGGGUAGUCGAAUCGAAAGAUAGACGCUCACCACGGUGUGGUUCAUGGCUGGGGUG